AUAAAACAGAAUCAGGCUAGCAAGUACCUCAAGCAUACAGAGUUCAUAUAAAAAGGGCCAAAAAGAUAUGAGGCCACACCUUUCAGGCUGUUUGAAAACAAAGUGCAAGUUUCGUUUUUCUAACCUACUCUAAGCAGAGAGCAUUAGUGGAACUUUUAUGUGUGUUUUUUAUGAUUUGUUUCCGAACAAUGUUCCUCCUCCAGUGAAAUACUUACAGCACAAUAGG